rnacentral:rRNA from 1 species
UGAGGGAAUAUUUGGGUCAAUGGGCGAGAGCCUGAACCAGCCAAGUAGCGUGCAGGACGACGGCCCUAUGGGUUGUAAACUGCUUUUAUAAGGGAAUAAAGUGAGUCUCGUGAGGCUUUUUGCAUGUACCUUAUGAAUAAGGACCGGCUAAUUCCGUGCCAGCAGCCGCGGUAAUACGGAAGGUCCGGGCGUUAUCCGGAUUUAUUGGGUUUAAAGGGAGCGUAGGCCGGAGAUUAAGCGUGUUGUGAAAUGUAGACGCUCAACGUCUGCACUGCAGCGCGAACUGGUUUCCUUGAGCACGCACAAAGUGGGCGGAAUUCGUGGUGUAGCGGUGAAAUGCUUAGAUAUCACG